AACAUUAUUAUUUGAUUGUAGAGGGAACAUUGGGUCUUAGCUUACGGAGCACAGAUGUUCUGUGGAAACAGGGUUUGAAGUCACUAUGUAAUUUAAUUUUUCCAUUAACCCAAACACUGACUUAACUACCAAGUGAGAUCACAUACCUGAAAAGAGCUGUAGAUAUCUAAUAAAUAUGUUUUCUUCAUGUGGAGGACGCAUUGUAGGGCAGUGUGCAAAAGGCCAUCACCUGCUAUAAACAUAAUCAUUGCCAAACUUUUCCAUCACUGCUCUUCACACUUAAACCAGGCCUGGGCCUAUUUAUAGUAACAAGGGAGAUUCUUUUCUGUAGAUGAAGUUUUUAGAAACCAUUUCCAGAUGCUGGCGGGAUUUCGUCAUCUUAGUUUGAAACUGUACUUUUAAAAACACUGGAUACAGAACUAUUGAGCAAUGUCUGAAGAGCCUCUGAGAGAUGGUGGCUGUGCUCUCUUAAGCUGAUUCUUUAUCGUGGUUAUUCUACUACAAGUAAGCGGUCAUCGUUAUUACAAGGACUGCUUCACAUUACUAUCUCUAAACCACGAUAAACAAAUGACUGUUUCCCUAUUCUCAUGUACUCUUCCCCCUCCCUAGAGGAAAACAGAUCAAAGGACAUUGUCUAAUCCAUUGGCACUUUGUUAGGAUUAUUUUUUGUCUUAAAUAUAGGAUACUUAUUGAAUUUACUUGCAAAUGUUUUGUUAAAACUUUAAAAUUAUAAUAAGUUCUGAAUAUUAUAAUUGUACGUUUUACAUUUCAGAAGUAACUUUGAAUGUUAAAUCUCCAGCUAUACUAAUUUGUUACCUUAAAAUAUGUCUGUUAACUUCAUGUUAUAUUAAAUGAAAAUAAACUUAACAGUGCACAAUUCU
rnacentral:lncRNA from 1 species